rnacentral:tRNA from 1 species
GCCAGGGUGGCGAAAUGGUAGACGCGCAUGGUUUAGGACCAUGUGGACUUAGUCCGUGGGGGUUCGACUCCUCUCCCUGGCA